UACGUAGGUCCCGAGCGUUGUCCGGAUUUAUUGGGCGUAAAGCGAGCGCAGGUGGUUUAUUAAGUCUGGUGUAAAAGGCAGUGGCUCAACCAUUGUAUGCAUUGGAAACUGGUAGACUUGAGUGCAGGAGAGGAGAGUGGAAUUCCGUGUGUAGCGGUGAAAUGCGUAGAGAUAUGGAGGAACACCAGUGGCGAAGGCGGCUUCCUGGUCUGCAACUGACACUGAGGCGCGAAAGCGUGGGGAGCAAACAGG
rnacentral:rRNA from 1 species